rnacentral:rRNA from 1 species
UUAAGUUAGUAAGGGCGCACGGUGGAUGCCUUGGCACUAGGAGCCGAAGAAGGACGUGACAAACGACGAUAUGCCUUGGGUAGCUGUAAGUAAGCGAUGAUCCAGGGAUUUCCGAAUGGGGGAACCCAACAGGUACUACCUGUUACCCGCAUCUGUUAAGGAUGUGAGGAGGAAGACGCAGUGAACUGAAACAUCUAAGUAGCUGCAGGAAGAGAAAGCAAAAGCGAUUGCCUUAGUAGCGGCGAGCGAAGAGGCAGGAGGGCAAACCGAAGAGUUUACUCUUCGGGGUUGUAGGACUGCAAUGUGGACUCAAAGAUUAUAGAAGAAUGAUUUGGGAAGAUCAGCCAAAGAGAGUAAUAGCCUCGUAUUUAAAAUAGUCUUUGUACCUAGCAGUAUCCUGAGUACGGCGGGACACGUGAAAUCCCGUCGGAAUCUGGGAGGACCAUCUCCCAACCCUAAAUACUCCCUAGUGACCGAUAGUGAACCAGUACCGUGAGGGAAAGGUGAAAAGCACCCCGGGAGGGGAGUGAAAUAGAACCUGAAACCGUGUGCCUACAACAAGUUCGAGCCCGUUAAUGGGUGAGAGCGUGCCUUUUGUAGAAUGAACCGGCGAGUUACGUUAUGAUGCGAGGUUAAGUUGAAGAGACGGAGCCGUAGGGAAACCGAGUCUGAAUAGGGCGCAAUAGUAUCAUGACGUAGACCCGAAACCAUGUGACCUACCCAUGAGCAGGUUGAAGGUGCGGUAAAACGCACUGGAGGACCGAACCAGGGCACGUUGAAAAGUGCUUGGAUGACUUGUGGGUAGCGGAGAAAUUCCAAACGAACUUGGAGAUAGCUGGUUCUCUCCGAAAUAGCUUUAGGGCUAGCGUCGACAUAAAGAUUCUUGGAGGUAGAGCACUGUUUGGGUGAGGGGUCCAUCCCGGAUUACCAAUCUCAGAUAAACUCCGAAUGCCAAUGAAUUAUGGUCGGCAGUCAGACUGCGAGUGCUAAGAUCCGUAGUCGAAAGGGAAACAGCCCAGACCACCAGCUAAGGUCCCAAAAUAAUUGUUAAGUGGAAAAGGAUGUGGGGUUGCACAGACAACUAGGAUGUUAGCUUAGAAGCAGCUAUUCAUUCAAAGAGUGCGUAAUAGCUCACUAGUCGAGUGACCCUGCGCCGAAAAUGUACCGGGGCUAAAACAAUUUACCGAAGCUGUGGAUACCUUUAUAGGUAUGGUAGGAGAGCGUUCUAUGUGUGGAGAAGGUGUACCGUGAGGAGUGCUGGAACGCAUAGAAGUGAGAAUGCCGGUAUGAGUAGCGAAAGACAGGUGAGAAUCCUGUCCACCGUAAGACUAAGGUUUCCAGGGGAAGGCUCGUCCGCCCUGGGUUAGUCGGGACCUAAGGAGAGACCGAAAGGUGUAUCCGAUGGCCAACAGGUUGAGAUUCCUGUACUAGAGUAUGAAGUGAUGGAGGGACGCAGUAGGCUAACUCGUGCGUACGAAUGGAUGUACGUCUAAGCAGUGAGGCGUGGUAUGAGUCAAAUGCUUAUACCUGUAACGUUGAGCUGUGAUGGGGAGCGAAGUUUAGUAGCGAGUGAGUGAUGUCACACUGCCAAGAAAAGCUUCUAGCGUUGUAUCAUACUCUACCCGUACCGCAAACCGACACAGGUAGUCGAGGCGAGUAGCCUCAGGUGAGCGAGAGAACUCUCGUUAAGGAACUCGGCAAAAUGACCCCGUAACUUCGGGAGAAGGGGUGCUGACAUAUGUCAGCCGCAGUGAAUAGGCCCAAGCAACUGUUUAUCAAAAACACAGCUCUCUGCUAAAUCGUAAGAUGAUGUAUAGGGGGUGACGCCUGCCCGGUGCUGGAAGGUUAAGAGGAGUGCUUAGCGGUAACGCGAAGGUAUGAAUUGAAGCCCCAGUAAACGGCGGCCGUAACUAUAACGGUCCUAAGGUAGCGAAAUUCCUUGUCGGGUAAGUUCCGACCCGCACGAAAGGCGUAACGAUUUGGGCACUGUCUCAACGAUGGACUCGGUGAAAUCAUAGUACCUGUGAAGAUGCAGGUUACCCGCGACAGGACGGAAAGACCCCAUGGAGCUUUACUGCAGUUUGAUAUUGAGUGUCUGUACCACAUGUACAGGAUAGGUAGGAGUCUAUGAGAUCGGGACGCCAGUUUCGAAGGAGACGUUGUUGGGAUACUACCCUUGUGUUAUGGCCACUCUAACCCGGAUAGGUGAUCCCUAUCGGAGACAGUGUCUGACGGGCAGUUUGACUGGGGCGGUCGCCUCCUAAAAGGUAACGGAGGCGCCCAAAGGUUCCC